rnacentral:rRNA from 1 species
GUGGCUCAGAACGAACGCUGGCGGCAUGCCUAAUACAUGCAAGUCGAACGAGAUCUUCGGAUCUAGUGGCGCACGGGUGCGUAACGCGUGGGAAUAUGCCCUUGGGUUCGGAAUAACUUCUGGAAACGGAAGCUAAUACCGGAUGAUGACGUAAGUCCAAAGAUUUAUCGCCCAAGGAUGAGCCCGCGUAGGAUUAGCUAGUUGGUGGGGUAAAGGCUCACCAAGGCGACGAUCCUUAGCUGGUCUGAGAGGAUGAUCAGCCACACUGGGACUGAGACACGGCCCAGACUCCUACGGGAGGCAGCAGUAGGGAAUAUUGGACAAUGGGCGAAAGCCUGAUCCAGCAAUGCCGCGUGAGUGAUGAAGGCCUUAGGGUUGUAAAGCUCUUUUACCCGGGAUGAUAAUGACAGUACCGGGAGAAUAAGCUCCGGCUAACUCCGUGCCAGCAGCCGCGGUAAUACGGAGGGAGCUAGCGUUGUUCGGAAUUACUGGGCGUAAAGCGCACGUAGGCGGCUAUUCAAGUCGGAGGUGAAAGCCCGGGGCUCAACCCCGGAACUGCCUUUGAAACUAGAUAGCUUGAAUCCAGGAGAGGUGAGUGGAAUUCCGAGUGUAGAGGUGAAAUUCGUAGAUAUUCGGAAGAACACCAGUGGCGAAGGCUGGCCUCACGUGAGACCGGUAU